rnacentral:lncRNA from 1 species
UGAACGGAAUUACUAUACCCAUUCUACUGAUAGUACCUUCAUUUACAGGAUUGGUCAGAAGUAGCCCAUCAGUCACAGCAUCUAGGCAAACAGUACAGUCUGUUGGAGUGACAGAGACAUCUGGUCCAUUAGGGACAAUUUCACCAUCUGCUGGAGUUACAGAAAGGAUCACGCUCUCACCUGGAGUGACAGAGCUAACUGGUGCAUCAUCUGAAGGAACAGGGACAACUGCAUCAUCAGCUGGUACCACCUAUGAGGCAGGAAGAACUACAAGAGAACCAGAAAGCACAACUAAAGAGCCAUAUGGAUCCACCACUGGAGCAGAAAGCAGAACCACAGGAACCACACCUGGAAAAUCAGGUACAACUGGAGUGUUGGCUACAGCUUCUACAGGUGUGAGGGGCAGAAGCACUCCUUUCACAUCAGGUUCCACAGAAAAUUUCCCUCACUCAACAAUUGCACUAGGAAGUACCACUAUUGGUAAGUCAGUAGGGGAUGUCAGAUGUAAUUUUUUUUUUUUACUUGUUUUCAUGCUCAUUGGCUAAUUCAAAUUAGUUAAAUAACCUAUGGCCUUGAUGACAUUACCUCAUUUAAUUCUUUGAAUAUAAAUUGUUACCUAAUUUUUCUCAUGAGGAACUUACCAAAGACAUCGCCUAAUUUGGUUUAGGUUCUACAGCAAGUAAAAUGGUGGAACAAUAGUUUCACUUCUGUACUAACUCCAAAGACUGGGCUUUUCAGUGUGAUACCAUCAUCC